ACGCAUUAUCAAAGAUUACUCCAAAAUUGUAAUCAGAUCUCGAUGAAAUUUAAAUGUGACCACAUGAUAAACAUCGAUUUUCGAUUAAAUUAAAAAUCAUAAAAAUCGGUACACCCAGUAAAAAGUUAUGCGGAUUUUCGAGAGUUUCUUUCGAUUUCUCUGGGAUCCCAUCAUCAGAUCCUGAUUUCCUUGUCAUGGUACCAAACUAGGGAUAUCUCCUUUCCAAAA
rnacentral:misc_RNA from 1 species